UAAGGAAUAUUGCUCAAAGGGAGAAAUCCUGAAGCAGCAACGCCGCGUGGAGGAUGAAGGGUCUAUGACUUGUAAACUCCUGUAAAGAAGGAAAAAAUUCCCAUUAGAUGGGAGAUGAUGGUACUUCUGGAGUAAGCCCCGGCUAACUACGUGCCAGCAGCCGCGGUAAUACGUAGGGGGCAAGCGUUGUCCGGAUUUACUGGGUGUAAAGGGUGCUCAGGCGGAUUUGUAAGUCAGAGGUGAAAUCUUACAGCUUAACUGUGAAACUGCCUUUGAUACUGCAAGCCUAGAGUAUGGAAGAGAGUGAUGGAAUAUCUGGUGUAGCAGUGAAAUGCGUAGAUAUCAGAUAGAACACCAAUGGCGAAGGCAGUCACUUGGUCCAUUACUGACGCUAAAGCACGAAAGCGUGGGUAGCAAACA
rnacentral:rRNA from 1 species